rnacentral:lncRNA from 1 species
AGGAUGAUACCUAAAAUUUAUGCAAUGCUACAAGUAAAUCACAGUGCAAACUCUAAAUUAACAGCUCUAGGUAAAAUAAGAAUCAAGUUUAGUUCUUCACUCUGUCCCCUCUAUUGAUAUUCCUUUUGCAUUAUGUUUUAAGAAAAGUAACUAACAAAGUCCAUUAAUAGAAAUAUCACCAAUCUAGUUACCUGAGUUCAUUUAGCUCCAAACUAGCCCAAGGAACAUGUUGAUGUAUUGAUGGAUUAUAAGAUAUAAGCCAAGUAUGGAAUAAACUUUAGAAAAUAUAUCAUCAGUAGAAAGAUGUAGUUAUGAAGAAAUAGUGAUACCAGUAAGUAAACCACUACCAACUCACACACC